CAGCAGCCGCGGUAAUACCGGCGGCCCGAGUGGCGGUCACUAUUAUUGGGCUUAAAGCGUCCGUAGCCGGGGUGGGAAGUCCUCCGGGAAAUCUGGCCGCUUAACGGUCAGAAUGCCGGAGGAUACUCCCAGCCUAGGGAGCGGGAGAGGCCGAGGGUAUUCCCGGGGUAGGGGUGAAAUCCUAUAAUCCCGGGAGGACCACCUGUGGCGAAGGCGCUCGGCUGGAACGCGUCCGACGGUGAGGGACGAAGGCCAGGGGAGCAAACCGGAUUAGAUACCCGGGUAGUCCUGGCUGUAAACGAUGCGGACUUUGUGUCGGACAAGCUAUGAGCUUGUCCGGUGCCGGAGGGAAACCGUUAAGUCCGCCGCCUGGGGAGUACGGCCGCAAGGCUGAAACUUAAAGGAAUUGGCGGG
rnacentral:rRNA from 1 species